GAUGAGCAUGGAUAAAAUGAAAGUGAUAUAAUGAUAAGGCAUGAUUUUGAAUUUGGACAAGAUUGGAUUUAAUUCUAAUUCUACAUUUCUAAAUCUAAGACUAUAAAAUGUGUCUUCGUUGUAAAGUCAAUAUGCAAUGGUUGACAUUGAAACUACCGUGAUCAGGAAACUCUAAUUGAGAAGGUAUCUCUUAACUCAUGGCUUGAUAGGUAUGUGGGAGAUGGCCAGGUAGAAUGUCUAGAGGUGGAAGCAUUCUAGCCAAAGAUGAAAACGAUGCAAAUACCCUGAAGUGGCAGAAUACAUGGCACACUCAAGAAAAAGAGACAAUGGUGGCACACCUGAAACCGUUCAAGAAAGAGAGUGGAAGACAAAAUCAGAAAUGUCACAACCAUGACUGUGAUGGCUAUGCUAAGGACUAGUCUUCCACUUGGAGGUUGCUCAAUACAAUAUAGCUAGAGAGAAUCUAGAUGAGAUGAUGGGUAUUUAUCACCAUGAUCUACAUAUCCCACCCAGAGUUCCUAACAACAAUCUUUGGAAAGGAUGCUUGCAAAGCCAAAUGUGGUAUCAAUUGUCUAUAAUCCCAUUUACUGUGGAGAAUGAAGUGAGAAGAUCACACAGGAAUUCAGUCCAAAGCCAGCCUGGAUAACAUAGUGACACCCUCUCCUGGUUAAAAAAAAAAAAAAAAAGGCUUGCAAUUUAUCAG